rnacentral:rRNA from 1 species
UACGGAGGGUGCAAGCGUUAUCCGGAUUUACUGGGCUUAAAGGGUGUGCAGGCGGACUAUUAAGUCAGGGGUGAAAUCCCGAGGCUCAACCUCGGAACUGCCUUUGAUACUAUUAGUCUUGAAUGUUGUUGAGGUGGGCGGAACGGGUCAUGUAGCGGUGAAAUGCAUAGAUAUGACCCGGAACACCGAUUGCGAAGGCAGCCCGCUAAGCAACUAUUGACGCUGAGGCACGAGAGCGUGGGGAUCAAACAGG